GGGACUUGCCUUUCAGGCAUCCUCUCCUAAAACUUUUCCAGGCUGAUCUUCGGAUCAGCCUUUUUUUUAUCCGCGG
rnacentral:sRNA from 1 species